rnacentral:rRNA from 1 species
GUACAUAAUUUUAGAUAUAUUCAUUAUAUAUUUUUAUUAAGUAAUUACAUUUAAGUCCUUCUUUGUACACUUUUUCAAAGUGUCUUUCGCUAUAUUAUUGUAACUCGCCUAAAACUUCUUGAUAGUCUGCACCUUGAUCUGUAUUUUUAGGUAUCUUUUCUAAUUUGAUAAAAUAUUUUUAUAUUAUCAGGUUACGACGGCAUACAAAAUAUAACAUGAAGUGGAUUACCUUGGUGGUUAUCAUUUAUUUGGUAAGUUCCCCUAAAUUUUAAAAUUACCGUCAUGCUAUUUGAGUUUUAAUCAACAAGAUUUUAGUACUCAGUAUUUAUUUAUAGGUAUUGUAUAAAAGGGUAUCUAAUCCUUGUUUAUGAUCAAUAUUUAUAAAUAUUAUUAGAUUAUAUUUGAAUAUAAUUAUCAUUUCACUAAUAAAAAAAAUAUAAGCUUUAUUAUACUACGAAAUAAUUUAUUACUAUAAAAGUCUGACCGCGACUGCUGGCACUUUUUUAGUCAUAGUAUAAAUAAUUGGUUUAUUCUUAUUUUCAUAAAUUUUUAAAUUUUCUUUCCUGGUAAGAUCUUUUUAGUACCAUAAGUAUUCCUAUUUUUUAUAAAUAAUUCACCAU